AGAGUUUGACUCCUGGCUCAGGACGAACGCUAGCGGCGCGCUUAACACAUGCAAGGUCGAGCGGAAAGGCCCCGUUCGGGGGUACUCGAGCGGCGGACGGGUGAGUAACACGUGACGCAACCUCGUCCCUUGGUCGUUUGGGAACGUAAACCCCGGGGAAACCGGGGACUAACGUACCGAAUAUCCACGCACUGUCGCAUGACGGUGCGUAGUAAAGUUUUCGGCUGAGGAGUGGGCUCGGCGGCCUAUCAGUCUUGUUGGUGGGUAACGGCCUACCAAGGCUUCGACGGGUAGCCGGCCUGAGAGGGCGACCGGCCACACUGGGACUGAGAUACGGCCCAGACUCCUACGGGAGGCAGCAGUGGGGAAUAUUGCACAAUGGGCGCAAGCCUGAUGCAGCGACGCCGCGUGAGGGACGAAGGCCUUCGGGUUGUAAACCUCUUUCGGCAGGGACGAAGCGCAAGUGACGGUACCUGCAGAAGAAGCGCCGGCCAACUACGUG
rnacentral:rRNA from 1 species